rnacentral:misc_RNA from 1 species
CCGAGUUUACAACUCCCAAACCCCUGUGAACAUACCACUUGUUGCCUCGGCGGAUCAGCCCGCUCCCGGUAAAACGGGACGGCCCGCCAGAGGACCCCUAAACUCUGUUUCUAUAUGUAACUUCCGAGUAAAACCAUAAAUAAAUCA